rnacentral:lncRNA from 1 species
AUUUAAUGUCAAUAUUCAAUUUAGUACAGUGGUUUUAAAAAAAAAACAAUUUGGUCCUUAUAUUUUUUAAAAUGUAUCCAAAUUGGUCAUUUUCGUUAAGUCACACCUUACUGCGUCAAGUGUUGCUUAUGUGACAGAGAGAGGUGGGAUUGAGAGAUGUGAGGUGUCAAGUGGCGGCAUCCCUAAGGCUAUAACCCCCGCAUCGUCACCGGCGGCAUCUCCUCCCACUGUUGUGGCUCCUGCUCCAGCGACCAAGCCUCCGGCAGCGUCUCCUCCGACUGCGGCGCCAAUGAGCUCCCCACCGACUCCAGUUCCGAUGAGCUCUCCCCUUGCGCGUGUGCCUACAGCUGCUCUCGUGGUGGUGGAUAUGGACUUAUAACAACAAUAAAUCACAGAUCUUAUGCACAUUGUACAAAAUCAGCAUUGAAAGAACACAGUAAAGAUAAAACAUAUCUCAUCGUUGGCAAAAAAUGCAGGUGUAGGGGAAGAAGCAUCUUCGCUAGAGAAGGGGAUCGAGCAAUGAUGGUAAAGGUGUUGGAGCACCGUGCUUCUUACCCUUCUUGUUCUUUCCUGGAGCCGGAGCCGGAGCCACAAGGGUGAUGGGCGCCACCACGGGAACAGUUGUAGGCACAGGCGCAGGGGAAGAGCUCACCGGAAUUGGAGCUGGAGGGGAGCUCACUGGCACUGCAGCCGGAGGGGAUGCUAUGAGAGGCUUGGUCACUGGAGCAGGAGUCACAACAAUGGGAGGAGAUGUCGCCGGCAACAAUGCGAGGGUUACGACCUUAGGAGAUGUCGUCGGCGACAAUGCGAGGGUUACAACCUUAGGAGAUGUCGCCACUUGACACCUCACAUCUCUCAAUCCCAC